GAUUAGUAAACCUAGAGUCGAACAAUCUAGGUGUGUGGCAUUUAACCUAGUGUCAGUAAACCUAGGUUGAAUUAGUAAACCUAGAAAUGGACAUCUAGGCAAAGAUGAUAAGAACCUAGCAAGUGUAUCUAGGUUAAGUGAUGUGGACAUAGAACCUAGAGUAUUGGAACCUAGGUUGAUGUGUAUAGUGGUAUAGCCAC
rnacentral:lncRNA from 1 species